UGCAGUCGAACGGCAGCACGGGCUUCGGCCUGGUGGCGAGUGGCGAACGGGUGAGUAAUGCAUCGGAACGUGCCCAUGUCGUGGGGGAUAACGUAGCGAAAGCUACGCUAAUACCGCAUACGCCCUGAGGGGGAAAGCGGGGGAUUCUUCGGAACCUCGCGCGAUUGGAGCGGCCGAUGUCGGAUUAGCUAGUAGGUGAGGUAAAGGCUCACCUAGGCGACGAUCCGUAGCGGGUCUGAGAGGAUGAUCCGCCACACUGGGACUGAGACACGGCCCAGACUCCUACGGGAGGCAGCAGUGGGGAAUUUUGGACAAUGGGGGCAACCCUGAUCCAGCCAUGCCGCGUGAGUGAAGAAGGCCUUCGGGUUGUAAAGCUCUUUCGGCCGGGAAGAAAUCGGCGACUCUAACAUAGUCGCUGGAUGACGGUACCGGACUAAGAAGCACCGGCUAACUACGUGCCA
rnacentral:rRNA from 1 species